rnacentral:rRNA from 1 species
AUACGGAGGAUCCGAGCGUUAUCCGGAUUUAUUGGGUUUAAAGGGUGCGCAGGCGGCCAUUUAAGUCAGCGGUUAAAUCGUGGGGCUCAACCCCAUUCUGCCGUUGAUACUGGGUGGCUUGAUUGCGGUCGAGGUUGGCGGAAUUCGUUGUGUAGCGGUGAAAUGCAUAGAUAUGACGAAGAACACCGAUUGCGUAGGCAGCUGACCAGACCGCAAAUGACUCUCAUGCACGAAAGUGCGGGGAUCGAACAGGAUUAGAUACCCUGGUAGUCCGCACAGUAAACGAUUAAUACUUGUUUUCGGCGAUAUAAUGUCGGAGGCAAAGCGAAAGCGAUAAGUAUUCCACCUGGGGAGUACGCCGGCAACGGUGAAACUCAAAGGAAUUGACGGGG